rnacentral:other from 1 species
AAGGCUCGAGCUUGUUCGAUAGCCGCUCCAAUUGUGAGCCAGCACCUUCGGCUUGGGAGUCGGUUUCCGGCGAGGCAAUUUCGGCCUCGCCGGUAGACGCCCACCUUCUGAGAAGGGUUCUCAAGCCGAGCGGCGUCGGCAAGUUGGAGCCUUC